rnacentral:sRNA from 1 species
UUUAUUAUGAUAUAAUAAAAGAACAGAGAAGUUAUGACGGUGGCGACUUCUGAAAGGUGGUGGUGCUUAUGAAAGUGAGUACUGAAAUUACAGAAGAGGCAACGCUCCUAAUAGUCGCCUUGUACUGUUCAACAUCAGUUCAUAAAACCAUUCACUGUGUUUCUCAGCAAAAGGAGAAUGCCUUUUGUCCGCAUUGGAAGCAAUUCAGCUGAUUUUAAGCUUUGGUAUGUUUACCAUCGCCUUGAUCAAAC